UACAGAGGGUGCAAGCGUUGUUCGGAAUUAUUGGGCGUAAAGCGCGUGUAGGCGGCUUUGCAAGUCGGGUGUGAAAGCCCUCAGCUCAACUGAGGAAGUGCGCCCGAAACUGCAGAGCUUGAGUGCCGGAGAGGGUGGCGGAAUUCCCCAAGUAGAGGUGAAAUUCGUAGAUAUGGGGAGGAACACCGGUGGCGAAGGCGGCGUCCUGGACCAACACUGACAC
rnacentral:rRNA from 1 species